rnacentral:rRNA from 1 species
GACGAACGCUGGCGGCGUGCUUAACACAUGCAAGUCGAACGGAAAGGCCCUGCUUUUGUGGGGUGCUCGAGUGGCGAACGGGUGAGUAACACGUGAGUAACCUGCCCUUGACUUUGGGAUAACUUCAGGAAACUGGGGCUACUACCGGAUAGGAGCUCCUGCUGCAUGGUGGGGGUUGGAAAGUUUCGGCGGUUGGGGAUGGACGCGCGGCUUAUCAGCUUGUUGGUGGGGUAGUGGCUUACCAAGGCUUUGACGGGUAGCCGGCCUGAGAGGGUGACCGGCCACAUUGGGACUGAGAUACGGCCCAGACUGCUACGGGAGGCAGCAGUGGGGAAUAUUGCACAAUGGGCGGAAGCCUGAUGCAGCAACGCCGCGUGCGGGAUGACGGCCUUCGGGUUGUAAACCGCUUUCGCCUGUGACGAAGCGUGAGUGACGGUAAUGGGUAAAGAAGCACCGGCUAACUACGUG